CCAGCCUAUAAUGAUAAUUGUAAAAUAUAGAGCUCAUAUUCUGUUUUGGUCUGGGGUUCUAUUGGAUAGUUGCUAUUCUUCUUUUGGCAAUCUGUAUCUGAUUGGGGUCAUUUAAUAUGGAACUAUAUUAAUAGUUCUGAAAAUCUGGGGCUAGUUUUGUUUCGUGAUAUGAUUUUGUACUCUUAUGAAUCAUAUCCUCUGUAAUAUUAUACCCAAGAAUGAUGUUCCCAUUAACAUGUUUUGUUGGAAUUCAAUAAUUUAAGAUAAAAGUUAAAAUUAUUUUUGUUAAAAAUUGAAAAAUAAAAGGAAAACUAGAAGAAUUCAGUGGGAAUAAGUAGUUAUUGUGGACAAUGACUUUCACAUCUGGGGCAAUAUGAGAGAUAUCAGAUCAUUUUCAUGAUGGUGUGCUUUUGCUGGUAAUAAAGAUAUCCCAGAAUAUAUUUCCCUAACUUUUACCAAUCGUGAGAAUACUUAUUCCCAUCCUCAUUAUUCUCAGGAAUGAAACAAAGACAUGUAACAAACAUCUUUAAUUGAAGAAUUUUCAGGUUGUUUUCUGCUUCCACAACGUAAUGAUUUUUGCAGCUGUUAAUCGUAAUUAAACUGCACAAUUACGUACCAGAAUAAAAAU
rnacentral:sRNA from 1 species